AAAAGAAAGAGAAAAGAAACUCUUCCUCUUCUCUAUUUGCCAUAGUCGGUCGUCGUGCAUCACACCGCAAAGUACACCGUUGUCGACGUUCGCUGCUCCACGUAAGUUAGACGACGUCGCCCGUCGUUGCAAGCCUAGGCAAAGCGUUCCUCGUCCGUCGUCUCUCCAUACCAAGGCUCACCAAGUCAUAGAUAGCUCCGUCUUGCGUGUGUCGAUUGGUCUGCAUGUGAGUCAUCUCCUCCUCCGUUCGUCGGCUCUCUCUCUGCCUCAAGUAAAACCAAACGGUCAUCAUUCCGCUGGUCAUCUAUCUCUGUCUCAGUCCAAUCCGUGUAUUAGAUCUAAGCCAAAUCCCUCCAAAUCGAGCUGAGAGCAAGGCAAUCCUUCCUCCAUCAGCUGCGCGUGAGUUCUUCUAGGCCAUCGGAGCCAUUUCUUCUUCUCACCUGAGUCGCCUAAGUCAUUUGGUUUACUUUCCCAAGCCAAACCAAUUUUGCUAUCAUUUGAGCAAUUUUUUUUUUUGUAUGAGUUUUGAUUGGGUUUCAGGUUCAUUUGGCUAAAUGUUAGUUGGACGUUUUGAGCUAUGAAGUUUUUCCAAUCAAGGUUGAAUUGGUUUCAACCUCAACUUUGAGACUGGGUAAAUUUGGGGAUUGGUUGUCAACCAAGGAAUUAUUGUUUUAGCUAAUCUCGAGGUAAGAAAUUUUAGUACUAGACCUUUGAAUAUGAAGUUAAAAGUCUGCAUGUAUUUUCCAUUAUGCAUUGAUGUAACUGAGAUGCAUAAUGUGACUGAUAUGGAUGAUCGAUAUGGAUGACUGAUAUCGCUAAUAUGACUAAUAUGUUUUGAUAUGAUCAAUAUGACUGAUAUGUUAUGAUGCAUGUUAUACUAAUCGCAUGAUAAAGACGUUAUAAUUGAUAUUCAUGUCAUGUUAUUAUGUUAUGACAUGUUGCUAUGCAUGAGUAUUCUGUUAACUCUAUCUAUUAGGGUCAUACCCAUAUGGGUGUCCCUCAGAAUCACCACCUUUUUAUGACAGCAUGAGUUCAACGAGAUCACUAGUAUAUUGUGAUAUGUUUUAUGAGUGGUCUGAUGGGGUCGCUUACAACCUGAUUUCUUAAGUUUUUCUUCAAGAUCAUCGAAGACUGGUUUCUCUUAGGUGUUCCUUCAGAUUCACCAAGAGCUCAGAUAUGUCUCUACAGGAUCACUAGAUAGUGCAUAUGUUCGAAAGCAUGAUAGUUUUGGAGUAUUUCCUUACAAAAUCCUAAUAGAAAGUUAACAGACACUUAGCAGGACUAGUAUUGGGUCCCUUACUGAGUAUAUGUUUAUACUCACUUUUUAUAUGUUUAAUUUUUCAAGCAAAUGUAGAGGUAGAGGAAAGUUGGCGAAUGACAAGAAGUGACUGUGACUUGCUAUAGGGAAAAUUUUAUAUUCAAAUAUGAUUUGAAUUUCGAAAAAAUGAUUGUGAAUUCAUGUUCGAAAGAUUGAUAUUAGUUAAGACGAAUAAAAUGGUAAAAAGUCAAAAUGUUGACUUUCGACUUGAAAA